GGCAGUUCUCAGGUGAUGCCCCCGGAAUCGAGCUCCCUUCUCUCUGGUUCUAGGGUGCAUCACCUGAGAACCUCA
rfam:Myotis lucifugus cont2.19977, whole genome shotgun sequence.